rnacentral:snRNA from 1 species
AUCGCUUCUUGGCCUUUUGGCUAAGAUCAAGUGUAGUAUCUGUUCUAUUCAAUCUUCAAGGAUCACACAACUGAAUGACUUUGGCAACUGAAUGAAUCCAUUUUCCAAAUGCAUGCUCUAUACUCCACCAUUA